rnacentral:rRNA from 1 species
CAGCAGCCACGGUAAUACGGAAGGUCCAGGCGUUAUCCGGAUUUAUUGGGUUUAAAGGGAGCGUAGGCUGGAGAUUAAGUGUGUUGUGAAAUGUAGACGCUCAACGUCUGACUUGCAGCGCAUACUGGUUUCCUUGAGUACGCACAACGUUGGCGGAAUUCGUCGUGUAGCGGUGAAAUGCUUAGAUAUGACGAAGAACUCCGAUUGCGAAGGCAGCUGACGGGAGCGCAACUGACGCUUAAGCUCGAAGGUGCGGGUAUCAAACAGGAUUAGAUACCCGCGUAGUCCCUGUCUCUUAUAC